rnacentral:miRNA from 1 species
CAGUCAGACGACCCUUUGAAGUUUUGAAGCCAGGCAUUGACUUCUCUAUAGCUAUGAAGUUCUGGAAGGCAUUUCCUUCCAAUAGAAGCCCAUUUUGUCUGAAAUGAAACUGCUGGUU